UACGUAGGGUGCAAGCGUUGUCCGGAAUUAUUGGGCGUAAAGAGCUCGUAGGCGGUUUGUUGCGUCGGCUGUGAAAUCCCGAGGCUCAACCUCGGGUCUGCAGUCGAUACGAGCAAACUAGAGUGUUGCAGGGGAGACUGGAAUUCUCGGUGUAGCGGUGAAAUGCGUAGAUAUCGAGAGGAACACCUGCGGCGAAGGCGGGUUGCUGGGCUGACACUGACGCUGAUGCGCGAAAGCCAGGGGAGCAAACGGG
rnacentral:rRNA from 1 species